rnacentral:lncRNA from 1 species
CUUAUGUUCCUGAAAUAACUUAAGCAAAUGGUUUUCUAACUGUAACACACAAAGCUUGGUUUUUGCCUGUUUAUUCAUUGAUUUGCCAAAGUUAGUUGCUUGUGGUGAGUCACUUUCAGUGACUAGCAAAAUUAAAUUAGCUUUUGCUCUGUGACAGUUCUGAGAAGUUGAAAUAGUAUCUGUGCUUACCUUUGAUGUUAUAUACUUACUCUAUUACAGCAAUAUCAACAGUGCAGACUGUCCCAGCAGAAACCAACCUGUAAAAAGCAGCAGCAUGCAACAACAAAAAGCUAAGCAACCUUUCUUGAUCCCAGCUGAUAUCAACAAUAUCCUAAUGUGGCUAGCAGCUUCCAAUAACCCUUCUUCACUGAAGUUUAUUUCUCUCAUUACUACACAGUACUUGCUUGAUUAGCUUUUAAGGGGCAGUACUAGAAGCCAUAGUUGAUGUUAUUCUGUUGUAUCUAAAUUAAGACACUUCUGAUUCUUAUAAAUAUUUUUCUUGCAUUCCUGUUAUGCCUGAAGCUGGAAGGACUUCUCUCUGAUCAAGAAAAAUAGCAGCAGCAUGGCGACUGAAAUGUCUGAAUGACUGCUGGUAGAACAAACAUUAUUACAACAAAGGCAUUGAGCUCCGUCUCCAAAGAACUCAAAUAAGCUGAAAAAGAUCCGGUUUGUGUAAUCUGGUCAUUCUACUAGGGAAAAAAAGCAACAUGGUUGAUAGUAGAGCUGUAUGAAAAGUGAAUAUAUUACUGAGAAUAAAAUGUAUCUGUCAGUAUCUGUAAGAAACCUGUAAGAACAAAGAUUGUUUUUAAAUCACAGAAAAAAAGUAAUAACAAAUAAACAGAAUACUUGCCUUCCAGGGUAUUAAAAAAAAAAAAAAAAAAAAAAGGUUUUCUAUUCUCAGGAGGAUUAAUAAUUGACAUGUAGCAGCUCUUGUGGUUGAACAGUCACUAAGCAGAUGGAUAGAUAUUAUUCCCUCUCAUAUAUUUACUAACGGAAAGUUCUUAGAACAGGCAUUGACAUAGUAUGAAUUACUUUAUGCUCUUGAGAUUUUUAGUUCCAUAAAUAUUUUUGGCAGCCUGGCUGAGGGCAUCUGGCCUUUAUUUCAUACUUUUAAAGCAUACUUUUUACAUUUCCCACAGAGCAACACACUGAAAUCACAAACCACAACUGUUGCCUCUUCUCUGAGAACAUGGCUUAUCUUGCUGAAGAAAUAUGUUAUAUAAAAUCUUCUUGCCUGUAUAGUGUAUAUGAUAUAGUGAUUAUGCUAUAUAUGAUAGUAUAAUUACACACCUAUACUAAAGGUAGCAGUUCUGCAAUUAAUUUUUAUUCAAGAGUAAUAGGAAGAGUACAACUUACUGGUUUUAAGAUAACAUUUACAGUUGCUUUGGGAACCUUCGAUGACAAGAUGACAGGACUGAUCAUUAACAUGCUGUUUACAAACACAGACUACAUCUGUGUUCUCUGAAAAGAACAUAGGAUCUGGGAUCAGACUCAAGUAAGUUUCACAUUUGCAGCUGAGAACAGAUACCUCUACCUAUAAAGAAUAACUAAUGGCAUAGAUACUUCCAUGUAUGGGAACUAUUGAAUCAUGGCCUGAACCACUGAUGGAGCACCUGGGGAAAGGACCUGGUCAGUUCUGAGAGCACAGGUGAAGGCAAUUCACUUGUGUGACUGAAAGGGGUGGAGCCUGGCUGCACUUCUCUUAGACCUCAUUUAAGGGCUGACUUCCACUAGGUAAGGGUAUUAUUCUGGAUCUCAGGGAGUCCUGGUGAAGCUUUCUCCUGUGAACCUGAGAUCUGGGUGAGCAAUCUUCUUUUCCUUUAUAGCACCUCUCUAUUGUGCUAGCCAUCACACCUUUGUUGUAACGCCUUUCCCAUUUUAUUGAUCUGUCCAAUUGCUACACUCCCCUGCUCCAGCUUUUCUUUUAUGCCUGAGCUUAAAAAAAAAAAAAAAUCUUUGUUUUAACAGACUGUCCUGGAAGGCUUCCUGUUGCACACAGGAGUGCCUGGAUCACAGGGUCUUUCUGAUGUUAGUAAUCACUGUACGAAUUUUAUUUUGCUCCAUGCUGAAAGCCCUCUACUCAAGCAAGGUCACUUUUGCCUGAGCAAAAGCCUCACAUUUCAGUGUACUACAGAUAAUUCUUCACGAUCCAGAGACUGAAAGAAACAACUGAAAUCUCCUCCAUAGUCCAGGGAAUGGCUUUAUGUUCUUCUGGCCAAAUAGGGCGGAGGUCUGACUCCUGUCUGGAUGAAGAAUUCUGCUCAGCAAACAUUUCUGGAUCUGCAUGCAUUAGCUGAUGGAUGGAGCUAUCCAGCAACAUUUUGACCUCUCAACAUUUGAAUCAUUUUGUUCUCUGCAUGUGAUGCAGGUGACGUUUCUGAGGCACCUUCAUACUUUUCGAGGAGAUCAGAAGAGAUCAAAAUGUACUCAGAAAUGAACACUGAUGAUCCUCUGCAAUUUCCUGGUGUUAUCAGCUGGGGCUAGAAGAGAAAGCAUUACCAGUUGUGAUACUUGGACUAACAUUACAAUAAUCAGCAAAGCUGGCUCUACCUGUGCCUGAAGCUAGGAAAUUUCUAGCUGUCUUAGUUUUCACUGGGAAGGUAUUGUUUUCUUCAGACUGUCUGGUAUGUGGUAAGUUUUAGUUCUAGGAGAAAAAUGAUGUUGAUAACACACUGAUGUUUAUAUUUGCUGUGAAGCAGCGUUGUACAGUGCCAAGGCCAUUCUCAGCAAAGGGCCCAAGGAGCUGGGAGGGAACAGAAUUAGGAGAGCUAACCAAAACUGCCCAAAGGGAUAUUCCAUGCCAUAUGAUAUCAUGCAGAAGGAGUUUUGAGGUGGGUGGGAUUCAUUGGGCUCUCUUGCUGUUCAAGGGGCUAGCUGGGCAUAGGUCAGGGUGUGAUGAGAAAUUGCUUAUGCAUCACUUGUUAAAUAUAUAUAUUUGUCAUAAUUAUUAUCCUUUUUAUUUUCUCUAUCUUAGUAAAUAGUUUUAUCUCAAUCCAUGAGUUCCACUUUGUAUUUUUUUUAUUCUUUCCCCCAUCACGUUGGGAAGGUUGGUAGUGAGCAAAUGACUAUAGUGCUCAGCCACCUGCCAGGUUAAACCAUACCACCAGCUUUUCAGAUUUUACCUUUUACCUUCAACCUAGAAGCAAAAAGAACUGAAACAAACAAACAAACAACAACAACAAACACAAGCAUUUCAUAAAUAUAUACAUAUGCAACUUGUAUAUCUCAUUUUGCUGUGUUCACUUCUGAACAAGCUCAGCAAUCACAGCUGGCUUUGCUAAAGGGGUUUUAUAACAGGACUAUUUAUUUCCUCUCUUGUAUCCACAAAAGCUAUUACAGAUAUACCUUUUCUUUCUUUUUUUUCCAAGAUGCAUAGAGUGUCUUCCCUCAUGAGGGAAGUAGACCAGCUGUAAAGAAGAACACCAUGUUGUGGCUCAUGUAGAAAACUGUGUUGUUUGAAAAAGCCUGCAUAUUUCUUCAGUCGUUAAAGAUAAAGCAAGAAUGGGAAAAGACAUGAAGGAAAGGAAAGCAGAAAGAAAAUCAGAGGAAGAAAUGUGAUGAUUGUACAGUGAAUGUAUAUUGGCAGAUUGAAAAAAUUGGGGCUCAGUGCUCAUGCAGUGAGAAAUGAGAAUGAAGUUUCAAACUGAUUGUAAGAGCAAUGCAAUUGUAAGAGCUUUACCAAUCUUUCCCUAGGUUUCAAGCUGGGAUUGACACUGCACACUGAAUCAAGAUUAGGUAGGGAACAGAGAGAUGCCAGAGACACACAGAUACCCUGCAUAGCCUCCUGAGGCUGGGAGGAGAUGCAUGCCUCAUGUAUGCAAGGAUGUAAAUGCGUGUGUGCUCUUUGCAGGAUCCUAAUACGCUGUGCCAGCUCUGCUGGGGAGCUGAAGGUUGGAGAAAGCCCAGAAAAUGUGAGGGGAGAUAGUCACUGCCUUAGGAAACAGAUUCAGGUCUCUUCAUUGAUGGUUUAUGAGAUGCUGCAGGUACUGUCAGCCACACAAGAGAGCCAGGAGGUUGGUGAGCAUCCAAGGCAAUACAAAUGCUGGAUACUGCUGAAGUUUCCCUUGGGGAAUAACGUCAGAAACGUUAUUUGUCAGAACCAGUCCUGAGGGCAUUUGUGAGCAAGGAAUGUAAGGGAUAAACAUUCUGGCUUCUACAAUACUAAAGAUGUAGCUGUGUUGCCUCUGGAUUUGCUCCCAGACAGAGUAACGUUAUUUUGUCUCCUAUUUCAUGGCAGUGCCAUGAUUUAGUCCUUCAUUAUGUGGCCUGGUGACAGAGGAAGAUCUGUGAUUACAUUUUGGAACAUCUAGUGAAGAGGAAGUGUUGCGGUCAGAGCUAAGGGCUGAGCUGUGCACGCAGCAGCCAUCACCCAGCCCCUCUGGAAGGGGAGCAUUGCACCGUUCGGCUGAGCUCACUGUGGGGUGCAGGACGUGCAGCCACACUGAAGAGAGGGGUUAGAGAGCACUGGUUUCCAAAUCUCCUUUCCUGACUCAGUGCUGGAUCAUGAGCCCCAUGUGUCAUCAGUGGGAAAUGUCAAGCCUCUGAGAUCAAUUGGGCAUGAUCAGAAUGAUGACUGGAUUGUCUAGGGACAAUGUCAAUGUAUCAUAAGAACCUGUCACACAUGAAAACAAAAAAUUCCUGCCUUGAGGCACUGUUCCUCAACAAUGUCUAGCUCACAUGAUGCCAGAUUUCAACAAAAACAGAUUCUAAUACACCCCCUAGGCACCCACAAAUUUUCACUGUAUUUGAAAUAAGCAAUUGAUUUUAUAGCACCUUAAAAGAUCGUUAAUUACAGCAAAGCUUCUCUCUGCAUGUGGCAACAGUGGACCGACCUAAGUUAAGUGACGGUAGUGACAUCAAAGUAAAUUUAAAAGCAGUAAGAGAACAAAUGACUUUGGCUUUUACUCUUACUAUUAUAUAUGGGGUAAAUUCUACACAGAGCAAAUUGCCAUCCAUUAAUUCAAACACCAGCCUUUCAUGCAUAACCAGUCUGUGAGAUAUUUUCUCCUUUGAUUAGCUAUUUGCUCUCUUAAUCUCCAGGAGAAAAAGAGAAAGAAAGAAAGAAAGGAAGAAAAAAAAAGAACAGACACUAUGUUUCAACCUUCUGCUCAAAUAAAGCAUGCUUCCAGGCAACGCGAUCCGACUUUCUUCUCUCUGCAUCAUGACACAGCAAACGGAUAUCAAAACGACAACCUGAUAAUUGUCUUGAGCUGUUGUGAUAGCUGAUGAAUAUAAAUAAGUAGCCACAAGCAUGCUUUGGAGCACUUUUUUGAAAAAAUAUCUUGCAAUACAUGAAACAAAUAUUUUAUCAGUAUUUUCUGCACCAGAAAAACACCUGGUUCCGGGGUGUUCCUGGCGGCCCCACACAGCACCACAUGGCCACGGCCUGCCUCCUUUUAACUCAUUCUCCUCACUCAACGUAUUUCUUACUUGACUGGAUUUAUGUUGCUUUUAAGGAUUUAUAAGGAAGAUCCAAAUCUAUUUAAAGUUGUUUCUUCAACUCCGUUCCUUUUUGCAGAGGUACGUAUUUACCCUAGCUCCACUGGAAAAAUGACACAGUCAAAAUAACACACACAGAAAAUUGUGCCAUUUAUAAUUACCCCCCAGUUCUGUCAGUUGAGAAGUAUCCUGCACAAUUUACUGCCUACUGAGAUGCAAUCAAAAUUAAAUGGGUGGAAAUAACUCUGAAGUGGCAGCUUCAAGCUCCACCAAAGGAGUGCAGGGUCUUAUUUUUACAACAACACAGAAAGUCGCCUUCUGGGUCAAACUCAUUGUCUGUUUUGCCUCCAGCUGCAGC